GGGGGCGACUGGUUUCGACAUGGUAUGUUUGAAUUGAGGAGCAGGUCGUGGUCUCCUCGCCACGUUAAACAGGGGUAAAGUCAAUUUAAUUGGCAAAAAUAACACUCAGAGCGCUCCGGCGCUCGCCAUGGCUGCUUAAUUGCACCUGGCCGCCAACCUUGGGAAUUCUCCGACCCAAGCGCGGUGUCAUCUUAGGAGAAUGCAUCUAAACACGUUGUCAGUAUGGUUUAGAUAAAGAUUGAACUGACUCGGUGAGGUUUCGUUUGUCUUAUGGACCAAACCUUUCUUAAACUUUGACCAUAGACUAAGCUUGUAGGUGCCUCAAGGAAAAUAUAGUAUGGACCGGAGUUCGAUUCUCCGCGCCUCCACCA
rnacentral:tmRNA from 2 species